ACUUGUUUAUUAAAAACAAACAAAAAAAGCCUUCUGGGGUCCACUCCAGACUUACUAAAUCACACUCUGUGGGGUUUGGCACUUUCAUCGUACUCUGUCGGCUAAAGCAAGUUAAAGGGUCAGCCCAGAUUCAAGGGAAAGGGACUAUGCCAGGGUUCUAGUUAUUUUAUAGUAUUUAGAGCUUGCUUCUGAGAAGGUGAAAGAGGAAAUGGCCUUGAAGUUCCUGCGCUAGUUCCCAAAAGACCAGACUAAAAAUCAAAAUGGAGUCACAGCAUAUAAAGAGUUCCCUGUCACUUGGGCUGUGGUCUGACCUUCCUAGAAAUCAGGAGAAAGAAGACAGCCAGUUUCUGGAACAAGCCGGUUUAAAUCAUCAAUAGAUCCCACUUUACAAGGAAAGUAACUUUGAAAUGACCAAUCCGCUUUUUGUUCUUUGUUUCUGUCUAAAAGCAACCUCCUCUGCUUGGCUCUUUGGAACACU